UACGGAGGGUGCGACCGUUAAUCGGAAUUACUGGGCGUAAAGCGCGCGUAGGCGGUUCGGUAAGUGGGAUGUGAAAGCCCUGGGCUCAACCUGGGAACUGCAUUCCAAACUGCCGAGCUAGAGUGUGGUAGAGGGAGGUAGAAUUUCCUGUGUAGCGGUGAAAUGCGUAGAUAUAGGAAGGAAUACCAGUGGCGAAGGCGGCCUCCUGGAUCAACACUGACGCUGAGGUGCGAAAGCGUGGGGAGCAAACAGG
rnacentral:rRNA from 1 species